rnacentral:rRNA from 1 species
CAGCCGCCGCGGUAAUACGAAGGGGGCUAGCGUUGUUCGGAUUUACUGGGCGUAAAGGGUGCGUAGGCGGAUUGUUAAGUCAGGGGUGAAAUCCCGAGGCUCAACCUCGGAACUGCCUUUGAUACUGGCGAUCUUGAGUCCGGGAGAGGUGAGUGGAACUGCGAGUGUAGAGGUGAAAUUCGUAGAUAUUCGCAAGAACACCGGUGGCGAAGGCGGCUCACUGGCCCGGAACUGACGCUGAGGCACGAAAGCGUGGGGAGCAAACAGGAUUAGAUACCCCCGUAGUCCCUGUCUCUUAUAC